rnacentral:rRNA from 1 species
CCUGGCGGAGGCCACUGCUAUCGGAGUUCGAUUAAGCCAUGCGAGUCGAGAGGUGCAAGACCUCGGCAUACUGCUCAGUAACACGUGGACAACCUACCCUAAGGAGGGGGAUAACCCCGGGAAACUGGGGAUAAUACCCCAUAGACUAUGGAAGCUGGAAUGCUCUGUAGCCGAAAGGUCCGCCGCCUUAGGAUGGGUCUGCGGCCGAUUAGGUUGUUGUUGGGGUAACGGCCCAACAAGCCUGUAAUAGGUACGGGUUGUGGGAGCAAGAGCCCGGAGAUGGAUUCUGAGACACGAAUCCAGGCCCUACGGGGCGCAGCAGGCGCGAAAACUUUACAAUGCGGGAAACCGUGAUAAGGGAACUCCGAGUGCCCGUUAAAUCGGGCUGUCCAUCAGUUUAAAUAACUGGUGAAGAAAGGGCCGGGCAAGACCGGUGCCAGCCGCCGCGGUAAUACCGGCGGCUCGAGUGGUGGCCACUAUUACUGGGCUUAAAGCGUUCGUAGCUGGUCUGUUAAGUCUCUGGGGAAAUCUACCGGCUUAACCGGUAGGCGUCUCAGGGAUACUGGCAGACUAGGGACCGGGAGAGGUGAGGGGUACUCCAGGGGUAGGAGUGAAAUCCUGUAAUCCUUGGGGGACCACCUGUGGCGAAGGCGCCUCACCAGAACGGCUCCGACAGUGAGGGACGAAAGCUGGGGGAGCAGACCGGAUUAGAUACCCGGGUAGUCCCAGCUGUAAACGAUGCGCGUUAGGUGUAUCGGUGACCACGAGUCACCGAGGUGCCGAAGAGAAAUCGUGAAACGUGCCGCCUGGGAAGUACGGUCGCAAGGCUGAAACUUAAAGGAAUUGGCGGGGGAGCACCACAACGGGUGGAGCCUGCGGUUUAAUCGGACUCAACGCCGGAAAACUCACCGGACAAGACAGCUGAAUGAUAGUCGGGCUGAAGACUCUACUUGACUAGCUGAGAGGAGGUGCAUGGCCGUCGUCAGUUCGUACUGUGAAGCAUCCUGUUAAGUCAGGCAACGAGCGAGACCCA